rnacentral:tRNA from 1 species
GCCCGGCUGGCUCAGCCACUAGAGCGCGUGACUCUCAAUCCUGGGGUUGUGAGUUUGAGCCCCGCGCUGGGUG